rnacentral:rRNA from 1 species
UAACGAAUCUUCCGCAAUGCACGAAAGUGUGACGGAGCGACGCCGCGUGGAGGACGAAGUUCUUCGGAAUGUAAACUCCUGUCAGGGGAAAGAAAGUUCUGAUCUACCCCAGAGGAAGAGGCGGCUAACUCUGUGCCAGCAGCCGCGGUAAUACAGAGGCCUCGAGCGUUAGACGGAAUCACUGGGCUUAAAGCGUGUGUAGGCGGAAGGGUAAGUACCUUGUGAAAUCCCACGGCUUAACCGUGGAACGGCUUGGUAUACUGCUUUUCUUGAGCAAUCUAGGGGCGAGUGGAACAGAUGGUGGAGCGGUGAAAUGCGUAGAUAUCAUCUGGAACGCCAAUGGUGAAGACAACUCGCUGGGGAUUUGCUGACGCUGAGACACGAAAGCCAGGGGAGCGAACGGGAUUAGAUACCCCCGUAGUCCCUGAGCGGGCUGGCAAGGCGCAU